rnacentral:rRNA from 1 species
CAGCAGCCGCGGUAAUACGUAGGUGGCAAGCGUUGUCCGGAUUUAUUGGGCGUAAAGCGAGCGCAGGCGGUCAAUUAAGUCUGAUGUGAAAGCCCCCGGCUCAACCGGGGAGGGUCAUUGGAAACUGGUUGACUUGAGUGCAGAAGAGGAGAGUGGAAUUCCAUGUGUAGCGGUGAAAUGCGUAGAUAUAUGGAGGAACACCAGUGGCGAAGGCGACUCUCUGGUCUGUAACUGACGCUGAGGCUCGAAAGCGUGGGUAGCAAACAGGAUUAGAUACCCCUGUAGUCCCUGUCUCUUAUAC